CUACGGGUGGCUGCAGUCGAGAAUAGUCUACAAUGGACGAAAGUCUGAUAGUGCGACGCCGCGUGGAUGAAGAAGCAUUUCGGUGUGUAAAGUCCUUUUCUGUGUGAGCAAUGUUUUCCAGGUUAAUAGCUUGGAGAAAGCGAUAUUAACACAGGAAUAAGCUCCGGCUAACUCCGUGCCAGCAGCCGCGGUAACACGGGGGGAGCAAGCGUUGUCCGGAAUUACUAGGCGUAAAGGGUAAGUAGGCGGAAUUGUAAGUCAGAUGUUAAAGGCACCGGCUCAACCGGUGUAUGGCAUUUGAUACUGUAAUUCUAGAGUAAGGUGGGGGAAGACGGAAUUCCUGGUGUAGCGGUGGAAUGCGCAGAUAUCAGGAGGAACACCAGAGGCGCAGGCGGUCUUCUAUACCAUUACUGACGCUCAAUUACGAAGGUGUGGGUAUCAAACAGGAUUAGAUACCCUAGUAGUC
rnacentral:rRNA from 1 species